GGGACAAAAUGGCUUGGAAAAUAGCCUUGUAUUUGUCCAGACGGGUAGACACACGGGCGUGUGUCUAGGCCGUGUCUGACACACGGUCUGCCCCCAUGGGCGUGUUGUCCAGGCGUGUGUCCCCUGUACCUAUGUUUUUCAAGUCAGUAUGCAUGGUAGUAAGCACACGGGCAAGAGACACGGCCAUGUGUCUUAGCCGUGUGAAGGACACGACUAUAGGACACGGGCGUAUGCCUUGGCCGUGUGGCUUCAAUUUGUCCAUAACCAAAUUGGCAGAAUGUCCAGGUUUUUGGACAUAGGUUUGGGACACAGGCG
rnacentral:lncRNA from 1 species